GCAAACUUGGUCAUUUAGAGGAAGUAAAAGUCGUAACAAGGUUUCCGUAGGUGAACCUGCGGAAGGAUCAUUAUCGAGUCUUGACUGGGUUGUAGCUGGCCUUACGAGGCAUGUGCAUGCCCUGCUCAUCCACUCUACACCUGUGCACUUACUGUGGGUUUCAGAUCAUGAAGUGGGCCUACGGGCUUGUGAAGCGCAUCUGUGCCUGCGUUUAUUACAAACUCUAUAAAGUAUCAGAAUGUAUUGCAGUAAUAAUGCAUCUAUAUACAACUUUCAGCAAUGGAUCUCUUGGCUCUCGCAUCGAUGAAGAACGCAGC
rnacentral:misc_RNA from 1 species